AUGGCCACGGAGGAGACAUCGGCGCUGGCGGUCGACGGCGCCCAUGAGCAUCCCACGCUCCACAUGCACAACGUGGCCGAGGUGAUCCCGACCCUGCCGCUGGAGACGCGGUGGCCGCCGUUCGCGCACCGCCGGUACCGUGGCUUCUGGGUGGCCGAGCGGUUCCUGCUGGCACUGGCGGCCUUCAACGACCAAUUCGAGCCGGCGCCCGGUGACGUGCUCCUGGUCACCUGCCCCAAGUCCGGCACCACGUGGUUGAAGUCCCUCGCCUUCACCACCGUGCACCGCGCCGCGCACCCACCGUCGUCUGCCGACCACCCCCUCCUCGGCCGCAACUCGCACGGCUGCGUUAGGUUCCUCGAAGGUAUCUUCUUCGGCCGCUCCGUGGACGAGGCGCGCGACGUCCUCGCCGCCGCGUGUCCGUCCCCGCCCCGUUUGCUCGCCACCCACUGCCACUGGGCCUACUCCCAGCUGCCGGAGUGCGUCACCGGCAGCUGCCGGAUCGUGUAUAUCUGCCGGGAGCCCAAGGACGUGCUAGUGUCGUGGUACUGGUUCCUCAAGAAGGUAGUCGCCUACGGCGCCACCAGCGACCACGAGCCCGACCCCGACCUCGACUUCGCCGAGCUCUACGAGGUGUUCUGCGAGGGAGCGCCCGGACAAGGUGCUCUUCCUCAGGUACGAGGAGAUGCUGCGCGACCCGCCGGGCAACGUCCGGAGGCUAGCGCGGUUUCUGGGGUGCCCGUUCACGGCGGAGGAGGAGGACGCCGGCGUGGUGGGCGCCAUCUUGGAGCUGUGUAG
rnacentral:rRNA from 1 species